rnacentral:misc_RNA from 1 species
GAUGAAGAACGCAGCGAAAUGCGAUAAGUAAUGUGAAUUGCAGAAUUCCGUGAAUCAUCGAAUUUUUGAACGCACAUUGCGCCCCCUGGUAUUCCGGGGGGCAUGCCUGUCCGAGCGUCAUUGCUGCCCUCAAGCACGGCUUGUGUGUUGGGCCCCGUCCUCCGAUCCCGGGGGACGGGCCCGAAAGGCAGCGGCGGCACCGCGUCCGGUCCUCGAGCGUAUGGGGCUUUGUCACCCGCUCUGUAGGCCCGGCCGGCGCUUGCCGAUCAACCCAAAUUUUUAUCCAGGUUGACCUCGGAUCAGGUAGGGAUACCCGCUGAACUUAAGCAUAUCAAUAAGCGGAGGA